AAGAGGGAGUAGAAGCGUGAAAAAUUAUUCUCACUGAUACCAUGUUAACAUGUGUUUCAUUAAGCAUAUGUGAAUACAAAAAACUGAUAAGAAAAGAAGAAGAAUGAGAAUCUUGUAUUAUUUUUCAUUGAGAUUAAUGGCAUACCAAUGAGCCAUUUAUACAGCAAUUAGAGUAACGGUCAAGAGGACAAAGAGGAAUGGGCCAGAAAACAUAAUGGGCCAAAAAUAAAAAAGGAAAGGAAAAUAAGUUAUGGGAUUUUAACAAAACAAGAUUUAACAUUAAAAAUUCUAAGAGUUCAAUGUAUUUUUUUACUUUAAAACAAUAUCAUCUCAAACUCUUAAAAUUUACAACAGGUAAGACUUCAUUUCACAACAAAGCAAUGUCAUAGGGAGUGUGACAUAGGUUUUAGAAGAGCUAGACCACCAAUAACUUCAACUUAACAUUGAUAUUAAUAUAUCCAAGACUUUGGCAUUUAGCAAUAUCUCAUUAAAGAGAAUCAAUGAUCAAAACAUGUUCAUUGUUAUCACUAUAACAAUGUACAUUAAUAUUGACACUAGAUAAAAAGAAAACUAACAAAAAAUCAUCUUUGAAAAAGAAAAUAUCAAACUAAUUCUACUGAAUUUCAGAGUUUUUCAUCAAUCAGCUCAAUAAUAUGGCUGAACUGACGAAUUUCCCUUGGACAUCUUUUGUGGAUUUAAUUGUUCCAGAUCCUCCUUAAAUAUCCAACGAUAACCACAACUUUUUCCCUCCAAGUGCAAACCAAAGGGCUGCCUAACCAUAGCACUCAAUUCAAUACCACUAAUAUCAUCCCAUCCAUCUGUUGCACGACUUAUCAAAUCAAUAAAUUUCUCCCUACUGAAAAAAAUUAGCAACAGGUGAUCUAAAUCAACUGUGACCAGAUCUUUUUCAAUAUCUAUGGGAAUAAUUGAAUAGACCCCACNGGUGGAGUGGAUGGCGGUGAUUCUUCGUCGGAGGCCAUGUGAUUAGGUCAAGAACAGAAAAAGGGAAAAUUGCAGAGAGAAGGAGGAUAAAGGAUAGAGAAGAAAGGGGAGAAGAAGGAAGAAACGAGUGGAGGAGAAGAGGAAAGGAUAAGGUAGAACACGUGUAGGUUAGGAAGAGGGAGUAGAAGCGUGAAAAAUUAUUCUCACUGAUACCAUGUUAACAUGUGUUUCAUUAAGCAUAUGUGAAUACAAAAAACUGAUAAGAAAAGAAGAAGAAUGAGAAUCUUGUAUUAUUUUUCAUUGAGAUUAAUGGCAUACCAAUGAGCCAUUUAUACAGCAAUUAGAGUAACGGUCAAGAGGACAAAGAGGAAUGGGCCAGAAAACAUAAUGGGCCAAAAAUAAAAAAGGAAAGGAAAAUAAGUUAUGGGAUUUUAACAAAACAAGAUUUAACAUUAAAAAUUCUAAGAGUUCAAUGUAUUUUUUUACUUUAAAACAAUAUCAUCUCAAACUCUUAAAAUUUACAACAGGUAAGACUUCAUUUCACAACAAAGCAAUGUCAUAGGGAGUGUGACAUAGGUUUUAGAAGAGCUAGACCACCAAUAACUUCAACUUAACAUUGAUAUUAAUAUAUCCAAGACUUUGGCAUUUAGCAAUAUCUCAUUAAAGAGAAUCAAUGAUCAAAACAUGUUCAUUGUUAUCACUAUAACAAUGUACAUUAAUAUUGACACUAGAUAAAAAGAAAACUAACAAAAAAUCAUCUUUGAAAAAGAAAAUAUCAAACUAAUUCUACUGAAUUUCAGAGUUUUUCAUCAAUCAGCUCAAUAAUAUGGCUGAACUGACGAAUUUCCCUUGGACAUCUUUUGUGGAUUUAAUUGUUCCAGAUCCUCCUUAAAUAUCCAACGAUAACCACAACUUUUUCCCUCCAAGUGCAAACCAAAGGGCUGCCUAACCAUAGCACUCAAUUCAAUACCACUAAUAUCAUCCCAUCCAUCUGUUGCACGACUUAUCAAAUCAAUAAAUUUCUCCCUACUGAAAAAAAUUAGCAACAGGUGAUCUAAAUCAACUGUGACCAGAUCUUUUUCAAUAUCUAUGGGAAUAAUUGAAUAGACCCCACCCCGUGUACAUUGAAAACCAAACGCAAUAUAAGGUGACAGUU
rnacentral:lncRNA from 1 species